rnacentral:rRNA from 1 species
CCCUUCGGCGGCUAACCCGGGAACUGGGUAUAAUACCCGAUAGAUCUCGACUGCUGGAAUGCAUCGAGAUCGAAAGCACCGGCGCCAGAGGAUGGGUCUGCGGCCUAUCAGGUAGUAGUGGGUGUAGCGUACCUACUAGCCUACGACGGGUACGGGUUGUGAGAGCAAGAGCCCGGAGAUGGAUUCUGAGACACAAAUCCAGGCCCUACGGGGUGCAGCAGGCGCGAAAACUUUACAAUGCCGGCAACGGCGAUAAGGGGACCUCGAGUGCCAGGUUACAGAUCUGGCUGUCGUGAUGCCUAAAAAGCAUUGCAUAGCAAGGGCCGGGCAAGACCGGUGCCAGCCGCCGCGGUAACACCGGCGGCUCGAGUGGUAACCGUUAUUAUUGGGUCUAAAGGGUCUGUAGCCGGCCGGAUAAGUCUCUUGGGAAAUCCAGCAGCUCAACUGUUGGGCUUUCAGGAGAUACUGUCUGGCUCGAGGCCGGGAGAGGUGAGAGGUACUUCAGGGGUAGGGGUGAAAUCUUGUAAUCCUUGAAGGACCACCAGUGGCGAAGGCGUCUCACCAGAACGGACCUGACGGCAAGGGACGAAAGCUAGGGGCACGAACCGGAUUAGAUACCCGGGUAGUCCUAGCCGUAAACGAUACUCGCUAGGUGUCGGCCACGGUGCGACCGUUGUCGGUGCCGUAGGGAAGCCGUGAAGCGAGCCACCUGGGAAGUACGGCCGCAAGGCUGAAACUUAAAGGAAUUGGCGGGGGAGCAC